GGAACCAUGCUAUUCCAACCAAUCAGAGAGCUUCUAGGACCCAGCGGAUAGACGAAUCAUUGCGCAUGGCGUUAGUCUAUUAUCGAAACUCGUGCCGGUAGGAUACGUUACACCGGUACAAAAUAUCGUUCGAUUAUCGGAAUGGCUUCGAGAUGUAAGAGCCAAUCGGAUUACGUAUAUGGAAAUCAGCUGGGAAUAUUUAUAUAGAAUACGAGGAAUUUGGAGGUCGUAUUUACAUUUGAUAUUUGUUGUCGACCUCUCGAGCAUACCAUCUCUCUCGAUCCCCUUCAUAACAAUUUCGAUAAUCGAAAUUGUGCCGCGAGCCAUGAUGCGUCAUUGUGUCUUUGAAAUUCGUGCCGAUUAGACGCUUCGAUUUGUAACAGAAGCUAAUUGCCGAUAGCUCGAGAAAGGGAAAAAAGGAUUCAAACAUGGACGCCAUAAUGACUUGUAAAUUUCGACGCAAUAAAAUAUUUGUGACUUUUUGUGGACAAGUGGUAACAUUAUUGUAAUACGUACAUUUUUAUCUUCUUUUUUAUUUGAUUAUUAUUGACUUGUUAAGUAAUUCAUAAUAUAAUCGAUACAAUAACUGCGAAUAUUAAGGUAGAAGAGAUUAAAAAAAUUAAAUUUUUAUUUCAAAUACUUUUUUAAUUUUAAAUAGAUUAAAUUAUUUUUUCAAUAACUUUCAAUUCAUAGGAAAAUAACAGUUUCAGAAUAAUAAUAGUAUUUUCUUAAACAGAUGCCUAGAUAGAAAAAAAGAAAGAAAAUGUUGAAACUUAAUAUUUUCUUCUCUUUUUUAUCCCACUUUUCCCCCACUUUUUUGACCGCGCGCAAUGCGGUUAUAGUAGAAUCAGUGUUUUUUUCGUGACAGUAUUUUUUCAAUGUUCUUUAGAGCAAUAGCUCUAACUUAAUUAUUAUAAUAUCUCGCGAAAGUAGAGUCAGUGUUUGUUCGCCGAUUGUAAUUUAAACGUACGGGUCAGUAGUCUUUUAUUUUAUUUUUUUUUCUUUAAAUAUUCGUUUUCGGUAUAGGGUAGAGUCAGUGUAUCAAGAGAAUAAGGCGAUCAUCCAUCACGCGAAGAGGACUUGAAGCUGGACUUUACGAAGAUUUGAAAAAUAUUUGCGACCGCGCGCAAUGCGGUUAAUAGAGUCAGUGUUUUUUUUCGUGAUAAUAUUUUCAAUAUUUUUUAGAGCAGAACAAUUAAAUAUAAUUAGAAUGAUGAAACGCGAAAGUAGAAUCAGUGUUUGCUCGCCGAUUAUAACAUGAAACGGGCGCGUUAUUAGCUUCUUAUUUUUAUUUUUUUUAAAUUUAUAUACAAUUCGUUUUCGGGUACAGGGUAGAGUCAGUGUACGAAGAGCAUAAGGCGAUCAUCCAUCACGCGAAGAGAUUUCUUCUACCUCGACGACUUCUGGGCUACAACAGCAGCAGUUCUUCGCAUCGAAUGGUGAGUCGCAUGCAUUUUGGUUCCUCUGGUCACUCAAUCAUGUCGUAGGACGAAAGGUCCGAAUCGACACGGGUGACUGGUUGUAUACGUAGAUUUUUGCACGAGCACAGUGACCACGAGUAUAUUUAUCAUACUCGUGAGUAGUAACAUUUUUCUUGUUUCAUUUAUAUUAGAUCAGGAUAGGGUCUUCUUGCAUAUCGCG